GGACUUUAUCGUUUAAGCAUAUAACAUUUAUAUGAGACGGCUCAAACAAUAAUCUUUGCCCUUUAUAGUAAACAAGAUUAGUUUAACAUGUGAAAUGUCCGUAAAGUAUCAUCACAUGAUUGGUUUUAGGGCACAUUUCCAACAAUCUCCCACUUGCACUAGAGCCAAUCAGCUUGGUCAUCACUGAUGAUACCUCUUCUGUAGUCAUUUCAUAAAUGGCUGAAUAGUAAGCCUAGACAAUGGAUAUCUAUAUGUUAUCCAUAGAAGCAACCUUGAGAAUAACGACGUCACCAUUAUA
rnacentral:lncRNA from 1 species